rnacentral:rRNA from 1 species
AACCUCCGCAAUGUGAGAAAUCGCGACGGGGGGAUCCCAAGUGCCAUUCUUAACGGGAUGGCUUUUCAUUAGUGUAAAGAGCUUUUGGAAUAAGAGCUGGGCAAGACCGGUGCCAGCCGCCGCGGUAACACCGGCAGCUCUAGUGGUAGCAAUUUUUAUUGGGCCUAAAGCGUCCGUAGCCGGUUUAAUAAGUCUCUGGUGAAAUCCCGCAGCUUAACUGUGGGAAUUGCUGGAGAUACUAUUAGACUUGAGACCGGGAGAGGUUAGAGGUACUCCCAGGGUAGAGGUGAAAUUCUGUAAUCCUGGGAGGACCGCCUGUUGCGAAGGCGUCUAACUGGAACGGUUCUGACGGUGAGGGACGAAAGUUAGGGGCGCGAACCGGAUUAGAUACCCGGGUAGUCCUAACUGUAACGAUGCGGACUUGGUGUUGGGGUGGUUUUGAGCCGCUUCAGUGCCGAAGGGAAGCUGUUAAGUCCGCCGCCUGGGAAGUACGGUCGCAAGACUGAAACUUAAAGGAAGU